rnacentral:tRNA from 1 species
UGUGUCUAUGGUGAAAUGGAUUAUCAUAGGGGUUUUCUACACCUUUGUUCUGGGUUCGAAUCCUAGUAGGCACGUAAA